ACUGAGAUAGUCGAAUGAUAUCUUCGUUUUAGUUUCUAGGGUUCAUAUCUCCAUAAUCAUAACACAGGAGAACCUUGUUCGAAAGAAAAGUCGCUUUCGUUAUCAUAAUAUGUAUGUUUCGGUGAGCUUGUUGCGCUUGGGGGACAAGUAGAAGCCGAAGCACCAUGAAAAUGGAGGUUGAAUUCAGUCUCAGGUGUGCGUAUCUCUCUUUUUCCAUCUCCGAAUUCACUUUUUCUAACUGUGUAAGAAUGAUAGUCUUUCUUGUCGAAAUGUCUUAUAAGCAGUACAAUCUUGUUCCAAAGAGAUCCUUCAUAGCUGCUGCUGAAGAAGUGCCUUUGCUCAUAUAUGAAGAUAAUAAUAUAGACUAGCAGAGCUAGAAACGAGGCUGUUAAAGCUAUUAAAAACAAUCCCCUGAAACUGUCCAGUCCUAGACUGUUGGAAGACAGUGAGUUUUUGCACUGUUAACAUUGAAGUUAAGCUAGCAGUGAAGCUCUGAACCAGUAUAAGGAACACGAAGCACCAUAUGAUCACUACGAACCUUCCCAAAUUACUUACUAUCUUCUCCCCUGAAUAAAAGGAGAAAAUUAUGUGCAUUUUGUGAUUUUUAAUAUUUUCAAUCUUAUGCAGGAGAAGGUAAAGGAGAGAUUACUGUGCGCAAAAACCAUGGUUGAGAAUGAGAACCAAAAGAUUGUUCCAGCUUGAUGAGAAGGUGGUCCUCUGAAUUCUUCGUUUACUCGAUGUUCGAGAAUCCAAACAAUAAACCCAAUGAAGGCAAACAAGCAGAAACUUGUCACCCAAAGCUCCCAAGUAAGUGGUCUCAAAAACAUCCAUGUAUUUUUCCUCGUUUUAUCAUUAAUAGGGACAAUCAUGAUUACCCCGCUUUCGGUGUAAGGAAGCGUAAAAUCCACGUAGUUCGAUCUGUUACCUCUGAUCGUUACAUCUCCCACAACAGCAUCAAAUUUCUGUUCAUCAAAUAGUUCUAAAUAUCAAUUAAGCAACACCACCAAAAGAAGGGCUGUACAGAUAUGAAAUCGUUAAAGGAUCUAUUAUCGUCGUUGAUCA